UAUUGGUCAAUGGCCUAACGGCUGAACCAGCAAUUUGGGGGAAUGGAAGUAUAUAUCUCAUGAUGCAUAUAUACAAAUCGACUACGUCGUAUAAAGUUCUAAAUAGAUAAUUGAUUAUGACAGAUUUCUAUUUAUGUGUCUCGACCAAUUCUUGUGCCAGCAGUCGCGGCAACACAAGUGAGACUAGUGUUAUUCAUCUUUAUUAGGUUUAAAGGGUACCUAGACGGUUUUUUUAGCCUGAAAAAUGUACAAAAAAACUAGAGUUUUAUAUGAGAGGUAAAUAUUAGGACUAUUGGUGUAGAGAUGAAAUUUUUUGAUACUAAUUGGAUGUAUAAUGGCGAAGGCGAUCCUCUAUUUAUAAACUGACGUUAAGGGACGAAGGCUUGGGGAGCGAAUAGGAUUAGAUACCCUAGUAGUCCAGGCAGAAAAUUAUGAAUGUUAUAGACUAAGUAUAUAAUUAGUGUAUAAAUGAAAGUGUAAGCAUUCCACCUCAAGAGUAAUGUGGCAACGCAGGAACUGAAAUCAUUAGACCGUUUGUGAAACCAGUAGUGAAGUAUGUUAUUUA
rnacentral:rRNA from 1 species